rnacentral:rRNA from 1 species
AUUGAACGCUGGCGGCAGGCCUAACACAUGCAAGUCGAGCGGAACGGCGGACGGGUGAGUAAUGCCUAUGUAGGAACCUGCUAGUGGGGGAUAACGUACGGCAAAGGGCGGUAACAACGCAUACUUUCAAUUGAGCCUAGGUUGUAUUAGCUAGUUGGUGGGGUAAAGGCCUACCAAGGCGACGAUCCGUAACUGGGCAGAGUGGAUGAUCAGUCACACUGGAACGUAGACACGGUCCAGACUCCUACGGGAGGCAGCAGUGGGGAAUAUUGGACAAUGGGCGAAAGCCUGAUCCAGCCAGGCCGCGUGUAUGAAGAAGGCCUUCGGAUUGUAAAGCACUUUAAGUUGGGAGGCGUUACCAACAGAAGAAGCACCGGCUAACUCCGUGCCAGCCGCCGCGGUAAUAC